UCCUGUGCGCUUAGGGCAAUGAUGUAGCUAAUGAGGUAAUAACCGAAGCGUGUCGAUUGCUCUGGUUGAAAACUAUUUCCAAACCCCCUCUUUGGCUAAGGCGCUCCGCUUUAGCCGUUGAAAAUUUUCGGAAAGACUCCCUUUUUGAAGGGUUAAGUC